GGGUGACAAUGGGAUGGUGACAAUGGGUAUGGGGCAGUGGCACUGAGUAUGGGGCGGUGACAUCGGGUGUGGGGUGGGGACAUUGGGUUUGGAAUGGUGAUGUCAGAUAUGGGACAGUGACACCGAGUAUGGGAUGGUGACAUUGAAUGUGGGAUGGUGACAUUGGGUUUGGGAUGGUGACACUGUGGGGACGUGGUGCCACCCCAUGUCACCGCUAUGGGGACAGGAGAAGCUGAGCUGCAACCCCAGGAAGGAGAACGGGACCCACGUGGUGGUGUGCGAGAUGGGCAACCCCAUGAAGGCGGGCACCGAGGUGGCUGUGGCCAUGGAGCUGAGUGUCACCGGCUUGGAGGACGCGGGCGAUGCCAUCACUUUCCAUCUGCAGCUCAGGA